rnacentral:rRNA from 1 species
UACGUAGGGGGCAAGCGUUGUCCGGAUUUAUUGGGCGUAAAGAGCGUGUAGGCGGCCAGGUAGGUCGGUUGUGAAAACUGGAGGCUCAACCUUCAGAGGUCGACCGAAACCAUCUGGCUAGAGUCCGGGAGAGGAGAGUGGAAUUCCUGGUGUAGCGGUGAAAUGCGCAGAUAUCAGGAAGAACACCCGUGGCUAAGGCGGCUCUCCAGUACGGUACUGACGCUGAGACGCGAAAGCGUGGGGAGCGAACAGG